UUUGAUCUGUGGGUCAUGGGUCUGAUGCAGGCCGAUCGUGAUAUCAUGGCGAGAGGGGACGAAGCUGGUCCGUUGGAUCAUUGUGGCUUUAACUUUUGACCACGGAAUACUGAGUGUGCAUUGCUCCACCACCACCUGUCCUCGGCCCAGGGACCACUGUUCCACAUCUUUUGUGAUGGGGGAGGACGUUUGGCUAAGCUGGGGCUUUUGUCCUGAUAUCUGUCACGUGUCAGGCAGC
rnacentral:lncRNA from 1 species